GUACCUGUAGCUCAGCAGCUAGGGCACCAGCCACAUACUGGAGUUGGCAGGUUCAAAUCCAGCCAGGUCUG
rnacentral:tRNA from 1 species